CAGUGUCUCCUUGAUGCCGUGGCGCUCCUGGCCGCCUCUCCCGACGCCAUCCCCACGAACGCCUUCUCCGACACCGUCUCCGCUCCGCCGUCUUCUCCGACGUCGUCAACUUCCCCUCGACAAGAGUGCAAAGUGGAAACAACACAUGAAGUCGACAUGGAGAAGGAAAAUGCAACUACAGUCCACAUGAAACUUGUGAAAAAAGAAUUAAAUCCCAAAGUUCCUAAUGAAGAGACUUGUAUUACAGUUUUAUGUUAUAUUGUCUAUCUAUUUGUGUGAAUGGAGAUGACCUUGAUGAAUGGAUUAGCUUCGCUAAUGCUUUAGUUUGCUGCUGCUGCUUCAGUUUGCUACUGAUGAUGCUUCUACUGCAAUUUACUACUUUAUUUUGCUCGACAAACUAUUGUGAUGAUGGAUAAAGUGUGAUGUGAUGAUGGAUGAACCAGUUUAUUA